GACGUAGGGCGCGAGCGUUGUCCGGAUUUAUUGGGCGUAAAGAGCUCGUAGGCGGCUUGUCGCGUCGUUCGUGAAAACCUGCAGCUCAACUGCAGGCUUGCGGUCGAUACGGGCAGGCUGGAGUUCGGUAGGGGAGACUGGAAUUCCCGGUGUAGCGGUGGAAUGCGUAGAGAUCGGGAAGAACAUCAGUGGCGAAGGCGGUCUGCUGGGCCGUUGCUGACGCUGAGGCGCGACAGCGUGGGGAGCAAACAGG
rnacentral:rRNA from 1 species